GAUAGGCAGGUGAGUGGUGGAGUCAAGGAGAGGUCCAGGAAGGCAGCCAGAGGAGCAGUGAGGAGAUUACAGCGAAUCUUGAAAUUGGGUCUGCAAUUAACUCUAACGAUGAGGAGGUUCCAGACUCAGUUUAAGGCAGGAAACAUGGACUGGAGAGAGGGUUUCUGGAAAGAGAAAAACAAUAAGAUGCCUUAAAGGAAGUCCAAAUUUAGCCAGCGGUUAAAUAUUUCCUUCCUUGGCAACAUGCUGUAAUUACAUCAAAAUCCACUUCUGAUUCUCUCCUGGAGGCGUCUGCUGCGCAUAGACUGAACUGAACUUUGUCAAUGAAAGAGGCUGGACCCAACCAUUGCAGUGAACCGGGUUCCGAAGUGACCCAAAGUGCAGAAACUUCCAGAACAUCUACAAAUCAGUGCCACAAGAGGACAGGACAGCCUGUGCAGAUGGAAAGAGAGAAAAAAGAAGAAAAGCUGACUGUCCCUCCAGUCAUAUAAGAAAUGAAGGUGGCAGGACCCUGGAGCAAAAACACAAAUCGGUAACAAGAACAUAAAAAGAACAACAGCUCAUCUGACCAGUAUUAGCACCUAUUCAUUAUGCUGUUGCUGGUGGUCCAAUUCCAAAUGCUGACUUGAAUACCUGUGUACCUUACAAACGUUGGGCUUCAGUUUUUAAAUUAAAUUAGAAAAAUUUCCGAACUGGACAAUAAAAUUACCUACCUCUUGACAUUUGAGAGUCAAACAAAUUCUUGGUAACGUUUUAGGCCUUUAAUCAGCUUUAAUUACUAUUGUAAAUAGUGUUCUACUUUUAUUAACUCUCAUACAAUAAUUAGCGUGUAGCUUGGAAGCAGACCUGUUGAUCAUGUAAAUUAGUAUUCUGUGGC